rnacentral:misc_RNA from 1 species
ACCUAGCCCAGAUUGAAGCAUUGUUUGAGCUCAUUUUUUUUGGAAUUUCGGCGGCGGCUUUGCCGCCGAAAUUCCAAAAAAAAUAGCGAGUGCGGAAAGCUGGAAAAAGC